rnacentral:rRNA from 1 species
UCGCCCUGUUUUUUCAAAAACAUCGCCUCUUGUUAAAAUAUAAGAGGUCCAGCCUGCCCAGUGACAAAGUUUAACGGCCGCGGUACCCUAACCGUGCGAAGGUAGCAUAAUCACUUGUUCUUUAAAUGAGGACCAGUAUCAACGGCAUCACGAGGAUCCUACUGUCUCCCCCCUCUAAUCAGUGAAACUGAUCUCUCCGUGAAGAAGCGGGGAUGAACAUAUAAGACGAGAAGACCCCAUGGAGCUUUAAACCCGACAGCACCCGCUCACUCUAAGCCCAAUUAUACGCCCGUACCUGUCUGCUCGGUUUUAGGUUGGGGUGACCGCGGAGUAUAAAAUAACCUCCAUGAAGAAAGGGAUAAAUGCCCUUAUUAGAGAAAGACACUUCCAAAAACUAACAAAUUAAUUUUUAAUGAUCCGAUAUUCGAUCAACGAACCAAGUUACCCUGGGGAUAACAGCGCAAUCCACCUCGAGAGCUCCUAUCGACAGGCGGGUUUACGACCUCGAUGUUGGAUCAGGGUAUCCCAGUGGUGCAGCAGCUACCAAAGGUUCGUUUGUUCAACGAUUAAAACCCUACGUGAUCU